AGUUUGAGCAAUAUUAUAGAUCCUAUUUAAUACUCCCAGCUUCUUCCACAACGAACCUGAUAGCUAUUUAAGAACAGUUAUUGUAAACACAUGUGAAAUGUACAUCAAAAGAUAAGGGACCCUGUUUGGUAUUUUUGAUCAGUUCACCAUAACUUUCCAACUAUGUUAGCAGCUUGGUAGUUCAAUCUUUCAACUGUCCCAGACCACGUGGGAUCGCAAAUUAUACAUGAUUUCGUAAUGACUUAGUACAACUGUGAAGGCAUGUUUGGACAUUCUAUACUAGAUUAGGAAAAAUAUUUCUUGUUAAACCAAUCAAUAUACAUUUGUGAAGAAAAGUAAGGAUUAUAAAUAAUGCUUCUAGUACAUUAAACAGUGUGAUUCCCCAUGUAUAACCCGCCACCCUAUACUCAAUGGGGUCAUCUGACCCAUAUCAAAUCUACAAAAUCUUAAAUUUAGGCUUAAUAUCAUACUAAUUAUUGUGGUCUAUUGGUUAAACUCUUCUUUUAUGACCCCCGUGUCUUGAGUUCAACACUCUCAUAUACUCCCUAUGUUUUUUAAUAUAAGUUGUUUUAAAGAAUUUUUAUGUUCCAAAUUAUAUAACAUUUUUGCUUUUUUAUGUAAAAUUUAUUAACACUUAAUGUUAUAUGACCAAUAAUAAUAUACCUUCUAUUUUAUUAUUGGUUGAUUUGUGGUUAAAUAAAUAAUUAAUGAUGUUUUUUUAAAAAAAUAUAAAAAACUAAUGAUUUUCUUAAUCUAUGUACACAAUUCUAAAACGGUUUAUAUUAAAAAAUGGAGAAAGUAUCAUUUUAUCUAUAUAUUAAAUGAAUAUUGACCCAUGUGGAACAUAAACCUAGCUCCCCCAAUGUGUAUAACUCAUAUUGAAUUAAAUGAACUUUCAACCUAAAACCAAUUGGUGAUAAACGGAUUGGUAUAUCUAUUUUAUACAUUACUUAGGAUGCAUUCCAACUAUACUAAUGUAAGAGACUUAGCCUCUAAUACAAUCCUCGAGAUGAUAGUUAUUUAAACGUCAAUCUCAGAAUGUUUGAAAAAUGAUCAAUGUGCCAAUUUUGGCUCAAAUAGAUUUGGAUCGGAUUGGACUGUAUGGAUCGAGCUCAUACAAAUACACUACUAGAUUUAAGUUUGAACUAGAUUCUGAUUCAUUAAGACGCAUAUUAUGUUUUUUUUUUAUAAAACCGGCGAAUUAAAUUAUUGUGAUGUUAAACAGUUAUAUUUAGAGGGUGAAUGGUUGAGUUUUAUCUCUUUAUCUUAGUUUUAUUUAUUUUUAAAUCAGUAAAAUUUAUUGUUAAUAGUUAAAUCCUAUAUCAAAUUUUUAUUAAUUAUUACCAAUCAUGCUUUACAUUUAUAUUUAAAUCUACAACAAAAAAAAAGUAAAAACAAUUAUGUAUUUUAGACAAAAAAAGCUUACAUCUUAUUUUAUAGGUUCCAGAAUCUGUAAAAUAAAAAUUACUAUUUAUUAUAUCAAAUAAAUUAGAUAAUCAUAAUAAAAACAUAUAUAAAUAUUUUUAUUUAAUUUUGAGUGCUUUUAAAUUAUCGAAAUAUUUUAAAUAACAUAAAUAUUAUUUACAUAUCACAUUUUACAUAACAGUAAACUUUGAUUAUUUCAUAUAAAAAAUAGUUAAUAUAAAUUAUUUUAAUUGAUAAAAAAAAUAUUUAAUAUAUAGAUCACAUAUUUUAUUUUAAAAUAUCUACAUCUUAUAUAUUUUACAGUGAUAGCAAAUUUACCUAAUACAAAAAUCUCUGCAAAAAAAAUUUGCAUUAACAAUUUUACAUCUACAACCAACUUAUCAAUAUCUAAACUCUUACAAUUCAUAAAUGUCGUUUGUCGUUCAGAUGCAUAAUUACCAGUUUGGUUUUCAGAGUAAUAGUUAAGUUUGUUCAUAUUAAUGGCAAAAAAAAAAUUACAGCUAAAUUUUACAGACACGGUCAAAACCAAUCAUCACAUUAAAUCAUUAAUGUUUUGUUUUGGACUUGUAUUACUAAUGUAGUGAUCAGUCAUAUCCGGUUUUAUUAUUACUUAUGUAUAAACGUGACAAAUUCCAUGGAAAAUAACUUGUGUGUAUAAUAUCAUGUGAAGAUAACUUUGUGUAUAAUAAUCAGUUCGAAUAUUCUAAUUUUAAUGUGAAGAUUGUAAAUAUAUUUAUCGUUAAGUUUUUGAAGAUAUUUCUCUCUGUAAAAUAGUAAAUAGUAGGGCUGGGCAAAUAAACCGAAUCCAAAAACCCGAUCUAAAUCCGAUCCGAUAAAAAUGAAUCCGAACCGAUCCGAACCCGACGUAAAUAUCGAAUAAAUCUUGUUUUGUGGUAUUUCGGGUUAUGGGUAUUAUCCGAACCGAACCCGAAUCUAAAUAGAGUUUAGACCAAAAAAAAUAGUAAAUAGAGUUGUUGUUUGUUACCCACCAAUAAAUGUUUUUAAAAAUAUAAGGAAGUUCAGAUUUUUAGUUAUUAUAAUUUAACACAUUCGACUGAAUAUUCCUUUCGUGUUCAAAUUUAAUUAAUUUUAUAUUUAUUGUAAUUCAAUUAUGUAGUUUUAAGAUUAGAUUGUUUAGAUUCGGUAAUGAUUGUAGGAUUUAGAAUUUAAAAACUUAAUAAUAUACUCAAAACAAAAUCUGCGAUUAAUAUUCUAAAUUAAUGGAUUUGGGAGGAUAUUAUUUAAUUAUAAUGUAAAUAAAGUAAAACAAAAAUUAAAAAAGAGGUACAGUUUCUUUUAAUUAUAUUUCGUAUAAUUAAGUGGAAUUGGCAGACUACAUUUCGAACAUAACAUCAUAGCUAUUUUUAUAUAUAGUUUAGAUUUUUUUUAAAUGAACAUAUGUUAAUAAAAAUACACAACUUACAUUUUUAAAAUCUAACAUUGUAAAACGAAAUGUCUAUAUUGAUUAUGUUUGGUAUAAGUAUAAUGGACGAAAAAAAAGAAGUAUAAUGGACGACCAAGUAUAUAUCAAAUCUAGUAAUUUAUAUAAUUGAGUGUUAAGGAAAAUUUUGGUAUAUGAAAAAUAAAGGACAAUGUCAGUAUACUAAAUUUUAAAAAAUAAUGUAAAAAAUAAAGUUUUAGAUUCAUGGGUGUAUUUUGUCACUUGGUUAAAAUUUGUUCAUAUCAUUCGAGACAGUAUAUAAAUUCCGUAAAGAACAUGCCUUUUUAUAUAUCACUAGAGAUUUUUUCCGCGCUUCGCGCGGAUUGUGUCUUAUAAAUUUAUUUUAUUUAUAAUAUUAUUUGUCGGUUUGUUUCUUUUACAUUAAUUUUUUGUUUUUCCAAUGUUAGUUUUUCUUAAUUUAAAUUUAUAUGUUUAUAGUUUUUCUUUUUUCUGGUUGUAGAUGGAGAAUUAUAUUUUUUAUUGAUGGUUUUUGUAUGUGACAUAAACUUUUUGAAAUUUUAAAAUAAUGUUAUAUAUAGUACAAUUAACACAUUAAAGAAGAGAAACAUAUUUAAGCACAUUUUAUACAGGUUUUAUAUACAUAAUUUUAAACAUUAUAUAUGUAUAUAUUAUAAGUUUGAAACAUGUAAAUGCUUUCUAAAGUUAAAUACUUGUUCUGAGUUUACAUAACUUAUCGAAAGUUUUAUCUUUUUUAAAUUUAAAUCACAGAAAAAAAAAUUGAGAACUCUAUUCAUAUAAGAUUCACAUCUAUGCAUUUUGACAAAGAAGAAUUUUAGCCAUCUUUAGUUUCGGAAUGAAUCAACUUCAGUCAUAUACACUAUAUUUUCUCUAUGAUUCAAAUCUUACAAUUUUAAUAUAUGUGCAGAUUUCCAUGUGAAAAAACACGCACGCCAUCUAUCGUUCAACCUAUUACUUUUUCCAAAGUAAACACUAUAAUCCUCGUUUGGUUAGCUCCACAAACUAAUCUCUUUGGAUCAGUGUAACCUUUCAGAAAAUGAUAAUCUUAACAUCUUACAAAAAAAACAACAAAUAUUGACUUAUUUAUAUGAAUAUAUAUUAUUUUAAAUCAUUAUAGUGGACGAAGAAAGCACCAUAAUUUGUACAACAAAUUUUCUUAGAUUCACUUCAUCAUAUUCACCAUUUUACCAUUUUAAUUACAUAAUUUUAUAUGAGCUUCUUCACCUUUCCCGGUUAUUUUCUCUUUAUUUAUAACUACAAUAUAAAGUUAUAAACUAUAUAUAUAUUAUAAAUUAAUAAUUUAUUUACUCUUAAAGUAACGAUUAAAAAUAGAACAUAAUUCAAUAUAGAUAUAUGAUUCUAUUAAUAAAUUAGCAGUUACAAAUUUGAAAUUUUUAGAAAUAUCAAAAGUUUUAUAUUAGUUAAUUAUCUUCUAAAUGACAUUUAUUUUUAAUUCUUUUUGGAUGAGAAUAUUUUGGCUGAGGUGGAUAGUUUCAAAAGUCUUGAAUUUAGUCCCUUUUAUAUAGUAGGAUGUAUUUUAUAAUUGAUUAGUUCCCUUCCCAUACAGUACAUGAAUUUAUUGAGCCAACAUGUUUAGUCGAAUGUAUGUAGGUGCUAUUAAGUCAAAUUAUAAUAGGUUUGUUAUUAUUAUUAUUAUUUAGAUUAAUAAGUUUGUUAUUAUUAUUGUUAUUAUUAUUGUUAGAUUAAUAACUUGUCAUAUAUAAUUUUAAUAGUCUUUUCUGUUAAGCUAAAUGGAUAUCCCCUCCCCCCUCUCCCCUCGAAACGAUGGUUAUUAAUUUGAACAUCAAUUUUGAAAUGUUCGGAAAAUGGUCGAGUACCAAUUUUGGAUCGGGUUGAUGUGGAUUGGAUAAGAUUACUUGUAUCAAAUUCUAAAACUAUGUUAAAUUAGAUAAACUUUUAACUUAUAAUUAAUUGGUGAUAAAUAGAUUAUUUUAUCUAUAUUAUAUUUGAGAUCUUUUUGAACUUCCGAUGUAGAGAUUUUGUCUCUAAUAUUUUUGCAUUUGAAAAUGAUAAAAUUUUUACCAUUUUUAUAUUUUUUUUUAACAUGUUCAUUUCAAAAACAAAUUGCUUAACAUGUAUGGUCUGAAAAAUAUAAUGUAUACAAUAUAUUAAUAAUCAUGAGUUAACAGAAAACAGAGGAAGUAUUUAUACCCCCUACUUUUAGCGGGAUUCAAGUCCAACUAAUCAUACACACAGUAAAUACGAAAUUAAAUGAUUAAAUAAAAUACAUUUAAAUAAUAACCUAACUCCCCAACACUAUUUAAUCAACAUGGAUAAUACGGGAGACAAAACCCUUGUACUAAUAUAUAAGAGCCAAGUAUGGCUGAAAGCAAGAUUGGGGUAUAGUCAAAAUAAGAGCGAGAAGACAUGGCGAGAGAGAAGCAAGCAGAGAUAACAAUAAUGGAGCCGCUUAGCCCAGUGUCUCGGCUGUUUGUUUCGCCCGGUUUCUAUGGCGUCAUUGUCUUUACUUUAGGGUUUAAAACUAGAUGCAACUCAUCUGCCAUUGUUGAAGGUAUCAAGAACACAUGGAUCAAGCUUCCCCGCUUCUCUAGCAAAGUGGUAAACAUAUAUUAUUAUUAACAUGCUUUAAUGGAAACAUUGUUCUUAGUUAGUCACCAAAUGCAAACGAUGUGGUUAUAUAUCUAACCAUUUCCAUGUGCUCUACAAAUAUUUUACGGUUUUUUUUUGCUAAGAAGGUUAAUAUUCAUAUAAUAAAAAGUUAAGACUUUACAAAUGCACAUAUUUUACUUUGCAGGGAGAUUUCAUUGAUCUAUAUAUAUAUAAAUUCUUUGGGUUCACUGAUCCUCAUAAUGUCAUUCGCUCUCUUUUAUCUAUUUAUUUAUUUAAUAAACUAUGCGUAAUCAUCUAUUUGAUCAUAAAUAAAUGUUUCAGGUGAUGGACGAUAAGAAAAAUGGAGAAGCGGUUUGGGUUCCUGUUAAUGUUCGAGUAGAAGAUCAUGUUUUUGUUCCGGACAUUGAUCAUUCUGACAUUACAAACCCUGAUCAAUUUAUAGAAGACUAUACGUCAAACAUAGCUAACACUCUAAUGGACAUGUCCAGACCUUUAUGGGAAUUUCAUGUACUGAAUAUAAAGACAUCAAACGCAGAAUCUUUAGGUAUAGGGAAGUUCCAUCAUUCACUCGGCGAUGGGAUGUCUCUUAUGUCUCUUCUAUAUGCUAGUUCAAGAAAAAUAUCAGACCCCAACGCUCUACCUACUACUGCGACUACAAGAAAACAAGUUGGUUCCAAUGAUAAUUGGUGGCUGGUUGCCAGAUUUUUGCUUAUGAUUAGAGUCAUUUUUACAACUUUUAUUGAACUGUUCAAGUCCCUCCUUACACUAUGUUUUAUGCGGGAUACUAAAACUCCUCUCAUGGGUAAACCUGGAGAUCGAAAUGGACCUAGAAAGAUUAUCCAUCGGAUAGUAAGCUUUGAUGAUGUCAAGUUCGUGAAGAACACAAUGAAAAUGGUAGAUAUAUUAGUACUUUUUAUCAGUUCUACUUGUCUUGAUCAUUAGUCGUUUUCUAAACAAAUUAUGCCUCAUUGUAGAAAGUCAAUGAUGUUCUUCUUGGAAUAACACAGGCAGGUCUCUCAAGAUAUUUAAGAAAAAAAUAUGGUAAUUUCAGACUCAUUCUUUCAUUAUAGUGCUAUUGGCCUUAUAUAAUCAACAUGUUACAAUGUUACCCAAGUAUCUGUAUGUUAAACAGAUGUAAAGCCUGAGAAAUAAAAGAGUGAAUAUAUGAUCCAAUGUAUAUUGAUACUACACUAUUAGUUUUUUUUGUAAUAUAUCAUUAACAAUAAUCUUUAAUAUUUUAAAAACAAGGUGACGAUCCAGUGACUGAGAAGAAAAAAUCCUUAGAGGAAACACGUCUCCGGGGUACAAUAGCUGUAAAUCUAAGACCAGAAACAAAGAUCAAGGUAAAAUAAGUAUUACAACGAUCUUAUAGUUGCAUCUUACAAAACGAUAUGUUUUACGAUAAUUAGAGUGCAAUAACUUGAUAAAAUUAAAUAUGAAACUGUAGGAUCUUGCUGAUAUGAUGACAAAAGGUUCAAAAUGUAGAUGGGGUAAUUUCAUAGGUGUUGUUAUAUUUCCUUUAUGGAUAAGAUCUGAGGAUGAUCCAUUGGAAUACGUCCGGAGAGCCAAAGCUACUAUGGAUAAGAAAAAAAUCUCCAUGGAAGCACUUGUGUUAUAUGGAUUCAUCAAAUUUACAAUGAAAAUAUUUGGCGUAAAGGUAAAAUAUCAAGCUAUUUCAUCCAUAUAUGUAUACUUUAUGUAAGUAAAAAGAAUGUACAACUUUUAAUGACAGGCCGUAGAAGCUAUCACUAAGAGGGUAUUUAGCCAUACAACGCUGACAUUUUCUAAUGUGUUGGGUCCAAACGAAGAUAUAAGUUUCUUUGAACAUCCCAUGUGUUACGUCGGAGCAAGCGCAUUGAUUGGACCACAAGUAAGUAUAAGUCUAUAAUCAUGUCAUUCUAGUACUUGCAUAUUAAAUCUGUUUUUUUUCCUUUCUGAAAUCAUAUACAAGUACUUGCUGACAUUUAAUAAAUGUGUUUACGUUUGUGGUUGGACUAGGCUCUUAUCAUCCAUUAUGUAAGCUACGCAGACAAGAUUAUCAUCAAUCUAGCUGUCGAUACAACAGUGAUUCCAGACCCUCAUGUACUAUGUGAUAAUUUGGUAGAGUCGCUUGAAAUCAUCAAACUUUCUCUCUUGGAGAAAGGACUUCAUAAAAUGGAGGUUUGAGACGUUCACGCGAUAUAAAAAUGGAAGUCUACGUUAAAAAGAUAACAUGUGGUGAAAUGUACUAUGUUAGCUUUUGUAUUUGUUAUGAUGUUGUGUUUAUUAUAUUAUAUAUAUACAUAUUCUACUUUGGUAGUAUAAACUUUUUAUUUGUAUACGAAAAAAGCAGACAUGUAGCAUUUACACAAGACGACCAAACGUAGACCACAAGCACCACUAACAUAUAUAUUUACAUAAUCAAUACCUAUUUUCAUCAGCAAACAGAAUUCGAUUCCCUUUUGCCUUGGAAUUAAAGGAACUGUUCAAGGGCUUGUGUACCAUUGCUGUUCAAGAGCUUCAUCAUGAAGUUAAACCUGGUGUCUGGAGAUGUCUUUGGUUGUGGCCAAUUUGCUCCUUCAGGGAUCUUGAUGCAUCUGUAACUUUGAUCUUUAUAAAGUUUCGUGGCCUCCGUAUAGCUCGACAUCCCCAGUUCGUGGCUUAACCCUCUGCUUUCCAGAUCAGUACUCUCGUAUCUGGAGAUGCCUUUGGUUGUGGCCAAUUUACUAACUGUCACAGCGACUAAACAUAUCCCUCUGGUAGGCACCCUGGUGGAACGGAGAAACCCAUUAUCAUCGCCAUCAACCUAUCAACUCUGAGGACAAGAUCAAGAGGGAACGAAUGUCCAGGGAAGAAGGAGGUGCAAUGUGUUUCUGCCACUUCCCACCAGUCCUCCACUCUAUCUUCCCGGACAACAAUUUCAGGUGAAACCACUGGGAAAAGAUCAAGUACAAACCUAAAAGAAAAGAACAACUUUAUCGUCUACUGACGAAUCAAAUCAUGUCGUAUGUUAAAGGAUGGGAGCUUUCAUGGAUCAUCAAUUACGACUAGAAGCGAUCUCUUCGAAUGAGACUCCCCCUUCCAUCUAUCAGUCAAAUUCUGUCUGUCCUCAGAACUUACAUGACUCUACUCUCCAGACAUAAAAAACAGUUUUGUUUGCUAUCCUGAUGUAUCUUGGGUAGAUAAUUAGCACUCUGCAGGCAUAGUCUGGGGCUUUAAAAGACUCCUGUAAUAAAAUCCUGCUUCAGGGAUCAGCUUCAACUGAUGCUACAGAUACAGUUUCAAUUUUGUUGGUGUAAGGUAAUGUUUUGUGGAAACUGCUCAGCUCUUUUUGUGGAGACUGUUCAGAAGCUGAUAGACUUGCAACUCAAGCUAGAACAGGAAAAUAACCAUAUGUUGUAAAGUGGAUCACAUAAAUAUUUGUCUGAGUCUGUUUGUACAACACUUAUAUAAGUUUCUCUAUAAAUAAUAAUAAUAUUUAAGGUUUAACUAUAAUUAGAAUUGUAACUCGAUCAAAAUCAAAGCCCGUGAAAUCUAACUCGUUGUUCUCUAGAACUCAGUCUAGUAGCAGCUAACGGAGAGUCAUAGAUCAUAAUGCCUUAGGUCAAACCUGAUUUGCUAGACGGAGUUUGAGAAACAGAAACCGUCGGCGAGAGAAGCCAUGACGGUUUUGCUUGAUCAAAGCUGAUGGGGAUAGCUCCGUCGUCCCCAUUCCCCAACGGCGUGCUCUGCAUUUCUCACCGCACUAUUACGGAGAUGGCAACAACAAAACCGGACGGUUCAACCGGUUCAAUUCGUUAGUAAGAAUCUUGAAAAAAUUACAAUAUGACAUACUUUUUCGUUCUCUACUAGGUGAUUUUCCAGUGAUUAUGCAUGGAUAUAAAUAUUUUUAAAGUAAAUAUAUUAUAAUAAUUGAUUGUUAAUUACUUUUAAUUUUAAAUUAAUUUAUAAUUGAGUAUUUGCAUGCUAUAUACAAGAAAAACUAUUUAAUUAGCUAACCGGUAUAUGCGACUGUUUAGUACUGUUAUUUUUUCGUUAUUUCCAAUUGUAUCCCUCUAUUAUAGCCACUGCACAAUAUUAUUUCUCGCAUUUAGGACAACACACAAUCAUCUCUUUCCUCUUUGAUUCAUCACCGUAAAUAAACAAAGACAACACACAGAAAAAAUAAAUCAUUGAUAACUUAAGACACGAGUUGGUGUACAUUUUCUAAUCGUGAGAUGAUCAAUGGCAGAGAGAUGCUUAUUAAUUCCAGUAAAGUUGCAGCACACCAAGAAUCAUUUGACAGAGAAGCCAUGUCUUGUGAUCCUAGCUUGAGUGGCUUAGGUUCAGAUAGCUUACAAGUUAAGUAAAUAAAUCGCCUAAAAUAGAAAUAAGAAUCCUCACUUCUUUUUUUUAACGCUGAUAAGAAUCUUCACGUUAUCUUCUAAUCCUGUAUAUUAAAAGAUAAACAUUAUAACAUUUAAGGUAGUCAUGUGUCAUCACCACAAUGAGUCUUAAAAUCUUUAGAAAAAUAUAUUGGUUCAUCUAAAUAUAUAAUAAGUUUUUUAUUAAACUAACCAUAAAUUCAUUAUUAAUGUCUUUCACUUUUUCUUUAAAUAAAAACUACGGAAUUACCAAAUGUAGCUAAAGUAUAUAUAUGAAAAUUAAUGAUUUUGAAUAAUAAAUAUUUGAUAAAAGUUAGUGUAUUCUCUAUCAUAUUUGUUUAAUUUUAAAUUAAUAAAAUAAAUUAAACAACUACAUUAACCAUAUAAUAAAAUUUAUAUUUUUCUUUAUAUGUUAUAUUUGAUUUUUUAAACGAUUAUAAAUUACUACUCUCUUUUAUCUAUUUAUUUAUUUAAUAAACUAUGCGUAAUCAUCUAUUUGAUCAUAAAUAAAUGUUUCAGGUGAUGGACGAUAAGAAAAAUGGAGAAGCGGUUUGGGUUCCUGUUAAUGUUCGAGUAGAAGAUCAUGUUUUUGUUCCGGACAUUGAUCAUUCUGACAUUACAAACCCUGAUCAAUUUAUAGAAGACUAUACGUCAAACAUAGCUAACACUCUAAUGGACAUGUCCAGACCUUUAUGGGAAUUUCAUGUACUGAAUAUAAAGACAUCAAACGCAGAAUCUUUAGGUAUAGGGAAGUUCCAUCAUUCACUUGGCGAUGGGAUGUCUCUUAUGUCUCUUCUAUAUGCUAGUUCAAGAAAAAUAUCAGACCCCAACGCUCUACCUACUACUGCGACUACAAGAAAACAAGUUGGUUCCAAUGAUAAUUGGUGGCUGGUUGCCAGAUUUUGGCUUAUGAUUAGAGUCAUUUUUACAACUUUUAUUGAACUGUUCAAGUCCCUCCUUACACUAUGUUUUAUGCGGGAU
rnacentral:lncRNA from 1 species